rnacentral:lncRNA from 1 species
UUAAUAAUAAUAGUUGGUUUUCAUACAAAAAAAAGAAAAGGGAUAUAUAUAUAUUUCUAGAAACUUGCUAUUGAUGCAAACACAAGUAAAAUUUUAUAUUGAAAGAAAAGAAAAAGAAGCUAUAAAUGGUGUUAAUAUGAGGUCUAUAUUUUGCUUUCUUCUUCAACACCUCUCAGGACUUUAGCUUACAAUACAAAGAUGAUGCCAUACUCACUAACUUGUCUUCAUGGACCAAGCUUCCCCUACUAACAUCUAUAUACCCAUCUCUAGAAAUUUUUCUUUAAAGAUUAAAAAGAAAAACAACCCAAUCAACCACCCCUGAUAAUUUUUUAAAAAAAAUUCUUUUGAGACGGCAGAUACAGUUUUGCCACCUUCUGGUAUUAUCUGCACUGUGUGAAGUUUCUUUGUAUUUCGAAGUGUUAAAACUUACUUGAAUGUGGCCCUCAAAUUCAAGACCUAUUGUGGAUAGGGUCUGACCCUCUUCGAACUCUUCUUUUGCUUGAUUCAUUUGGAUCGGUUUUGUUGUUUACAGGUAGUGGUUUUUGCUCUGUUCUCAUUUCCUUCAUUUCAACAGCCUUCCUUGUAACUAUUCCCUUUCCUUCUUCCCUCUGUUUCAAGACAAAGUGUAAACCUCUCAACCCACAAACUUUAUCUGCUUGAAUUGCUAAUAACCCAAAAAAGAUAAGAAACAAAAGCACCCUUUGAGAACUGCAAACCAUUUCUAACCUUAGCUCAACUUAAACAAUGGAAGAAACAAAGAAGAACAGGAGGGUAUGUUCCAAAUUCCUGUAGAUAUAUAUUGGAUUUGGAAAGGUGUUUAAAGCAGUAAAGCCAUGGACAUGGAGGGACCCAGUAGUAGGUGCUAUAGGGGAUUUUGAGAUUCACCC